rnacentral:rRNA from 1 species
GUAAGGAAUAUUGGACAAUGGAGGCAACUCUGAUCCAGCCAUGCCGCGUGAAGGAAUAAGGCCCUAUGGGUUGUAAACUUCUUUUAGACGGGACAAAACCCCUUUACGUGUAAAGGGUUGAUGGUACUGUCAGAAUAAGCAUCGGCUAACUUCGUGCCAGCAGCCGCGGUAAUACGAAGGAUGCAAGCGUUAUCCGGAAUUAUUGGGUUUAAAGGGUGCGUAGGCGGACUAAUAAGUCAGUGGUGAAAGCCUGCAGCUUAACUGCAGAAUUGCCAGUGAUACUGUUAGUCUUGAGUACAGUUGAGGUAGGCGGAAUGUGUCAUGUAGCGGUGAAAUGCUUAGAUAUGACACAGAACACCGAUUGCGAAGGCAGCUUGCUAAGCUGUAACUGACGCUGAGGCACGAAAGCGUGGGGAGCAAACA